rnacentral:lncRNA from 1 species
GUAAUUUCCUCCGCCGCGCUCACUCCGCUAGUUUUCCUGGGAGUCACGGUGCUUGGUCGCGUUAUUGGGUCCGGGAAUUCAGAGAAUCUCCUUGUCCAGGGCCAGCUGAUACUUCACUCUCUUAUCCCAACGCCAACCCUUGAUAGAUGCGAACCAGUCGUAUUUCCUUUGUGGGAAAGGAGUCGCUUUUUAAAGACGUGCACUGGCCAUCUAGGGAGGAGCUUUUACUUCAACUCAAAAUAGGACUGGAGCUGACUGGUGACCUGGCGCUCGGUGGACGGAAACGCUGUUCUUGCCGCUUCGGCAGCUCCCAUGCUGGUGGGAGAGGCAAACUUGCAGUCUGCUCAUCUUAAGAUGGUGAAUGUUGAGAUAGGGUUGCUCCCGAAAAGCCGAGAAGAGGAGCGUUUGACCCAACCUGAGGGUGAUCCGAUAGACACUCUUUAGGGCGUCUGCAGAGUGGGUGCGCGUGGAGACAGUCAAUAAGAGAAAAUCGUAAAUACAGACGGUAUUCUAAAUCUAGCAUGCAUGUAAAGUUGUGUGACAUUUUAAAGAUUACAUUUUACACUUUA